rnacentral:tRNA from 1 species
GCCGGUGGUGGCGCGGACCGUCGUCCCGCCGUUUCCGCCGGUGGUACCGCCGUUCUGACUGGCGUAACCGGUG